AACGAACGCUGGCGGCAUGCCUAACACAUGCAAGUCGAACGAGAUCUUCGGGUCUAGUGGCGCACGGGUGCGUAACGCGUGGGAAUCUGCCCUUUGGUUCGGAAUAACAGUUGGAAACGACUGCUAAUACCGGAUGAUGACGAAAGUCCAAAGAUUUAUCGCCAGAGGAUGAGCCCGCGUAGGAUUAGCUAGUUGGUGUGGUAAAGGCGCACCAAGGCGACGAUCCUUAGCUGGUCUGGGAGGAUGUUCAGCCACACUGGGACUGAGACACGGCCCAGACUCCUACGGGAGGCAGCAGUGGGGAAUAUUGGACAAUGGGCGAAAGCCUAAUCCAGCAAUGCCGCGUGAGUGAUGAAGGCCUUAGGGUUGUAAAGCUCUUUUACCCGGGAUGAUAAUGACAGUACCGGGAGAAUAAGCUCCGGCUAACUCCGUGCCAGCAGCCGCCGUAA
rnacentral:rRNA from 1 species